GGAGGAGUGGGUGAGUGGUUGAAACCGGCGGUCUUGAAAACCGUUAGGCCCGUGAGGGUCUCGGGGGUUCGAAUCCCUCCUCCUCCGCCA
rnacentral:tRNA from 1 species